UACGAAGGGGGCUAGCGUUGUUCGGAAUUACUGGGCGUAAAGCGCACGUAGGCGGACCGGUAAGUUAGAGGUGAAAUCCCAGAGCUUAACUCUGGAACUGCCUUUGAUACUGCCGGUCUUGAGGAUGAGAGAGGUAAGUGGAACUGCGAGUGUAGAGGUGAAAUUCGUAGAUAUUCGCAAGAACACCAGUGGCGAAGGCGGCUUACUGGCUCAUUUCUGACGCUGAGGUGCGAAAGCGUGGGGAGCAAACAGG
rnacentral:rRNA from 1 species